CAGGGAAUCCUGAGCAGAAUCCACGCUGAUGGCGGAGCCAGACCCAGGGCUGCAUCUCACCUGAGACCGUGAUCCAAGCUGAAAGUUAAGAGUCGGAUGCUUAACUGACUGCACCACCAGGGGCCCCUCAUGCUGCAGAUUUAACUGAUGUGGUGAAGGAGUGUGACCUUCCGACAAAGGCCUGAAAGGGUGAGGGGUGGCCCCAGUGGCCAUCAGUGGGGAAAGUGAGGCAGGCAAAGAAGAGCCAGUGCCGAGCUCCGAGCGGGUUGUGCCUCGGAUGUCUAAGGAACAGUGAGGAGGCUGUGGUGGCUGGAGCAGAAGACGAGGAAAAGAUAAGAGAUAAGGUCAGAAAGACUUGGGGCGGGUUGUAGGGGCCAGCAGAGAAGGAGGGGAUCUUGAAAGCCGCUGCAAGGAUUGGGUUUCUGGUGAGAUGGGAGAAUAAUCUGACAGCAUUAGGGUCAUUCUGCAGCUGGAUGAGAACGGCCUGUAAGUGCAAGAGCAAAAGCGGGAAGGUCACUUAAGAGACUUUUAAAAAUAGCCCAUAGGGCAGAUCCAGGUGUGUCUAAUUUCAAAAGCCAGUUCUCCAUCCAUUACACCUUGUGUACUAAAGCAGUCAUAAGGGAGACUGUACUUAUGAUGUGUGGAUAGUUAUUUUCUCCUCAAAACCACUCUACUGCAAACAAGCCAUAAAAUAUCCUUUCAAACAAAAACAAAUAUCCUCUCAAGACCCACCAACUACAGUGUUGAGUCUAUAAUAUUUCCAUUAGAAACUACUCCCUCCAAACAAGAUAACUGACUUGCUUUAGUGAUAGCAUUGAGAAAUUCAAACCAGCCCUUACAACUCCGACGUUGCUGUUAUAAUUAGAAAAUAACCAUUAGGUUGUAGACAUAAUCUUGAGAUAGUGAUAUUUUUUCCAAGAAAAGAGUCUAGUAGAAACUGUCAGUUGUUUCGCGAAACUAUUUUUCCCUUUCUUCCUUAUUAUUAGUCCCCUACAUUUGCCGGAGGUGGCAAUUCGCCCAGGUGAAAACAAAACAACACAAAAUUAUACUUCCCAAACUUCCUUACAGCUAGGUGGUCACGUGAUACCAUCCCGGGCAGAGAGAGGUAAGUGGGUUUUCAGGUAAGGCCUUCAGGAGGGAAAGAUUUGGGGGGCUUGGCCUUUUGGUCUUUACCUUUUCUCUUUUCUUCUCUUUCCUUCCUGAACUUCAAUGUGGUGGUUAGAGCCAGAGUAGUCAUCAGCAUGAGGGAAAGCCCAGGGGAAACCUGAGAAACUAUGGCCUUCACAUCUUUGAGCCACAGAAUCAACAAAGCAAAGGCUAACCUCCAAACUCUUGUGUUAAUCCUGUUUGAGCCUUCCUGUUUCUUGUUUAAGCCGCAGUCACUUACUCACAUGUGACAGAACACAGUUCUCAAUUCCACAGCGGCACCCAGCCCAUCAUGAAACAUGCUUCGGAAAGAAGUAACAUUUCUGAAUUUCCACAAGCUACAAGUACCUAUGAUGUUCAACAUGUACACUGAGAGCCAGCAGAACUGGGAUUAAGGGCUCAGGAAAAGAUGCUGAUUUUCAGUAGAAGCCCGAGGAUGCAACAUUUGCAAGACAGAAGAAAGAAGGGGGUGUUUAAAAUGAAUUUUCGCACUGACGGUGAUAGGAUAACAGCAGCCCAGUAUAGUCACCACCACACCCGAAGCCUGCUCAUGG